ACGAACGCUGGCGGCGUGCUUAACACAUGCAAGUCGAACGAAAAGAGGGAAAGAGCUUGCUCUUUCCGGAAUUGAGUGGCAAACGGGUGAGUAACACGUAAACAACCUGCCUUCAGGAUGGGGACAACAGACGGAAACGACUGCUAAUACCGAAUAAGUUCCAAGGGCCGCAUGGCCCAUGGAAGAAAAGGUGGCCUCUACCUGUAAGCUAUCGCCUGACGAGGGGUUUGCGUCUGAUUAGCUGGUUGGAGGGGUAACGGCCCACCAAGGCGACGAUCAGUAGCCGGUCGGAGAGGAUGAACGGCCACACUGGAAUUGAGACACGGUCCAGACUCCUACGGGAGGCAGCAGUGGGGAAUCUUCCGCAAGGGGCGAAAGCCUGACGGAGCAACGCCGCGUGAGGGAUGACGGCCUUCGGGUUGUAAAACUCUGUGAUCCGGGACGAAAAGGCAGAGUGCGAAGAACAAACUGCAUUGACGGUACCGGAAAAGCAAGCCACGGCUAACUACGUG
rnacentral:rRNA from 1 species